GAAUUGUUGAAAGGGAAGCGCUUGCAACCAGACCUGCCUGCAGUUGCUCAUCCGGGCUUUUGCCCGGUGCACUCUUCUGCUGUCAGGCCAGCAUCAGUUCGGGCGGUCGGAUAAAGGCUUCGGGAAUGUAGCUCCUCUCGAGGAGUGUUAUAGCCCGUUGCGAAAUGCGGCCAGCCUGAACUGAGGUCCGCGCUUCGGCUAGGAUGCUGGCGUAAUGGUUGUAAGCGGCCCGUCUUGAAACACGGACCAAGGAGUCUAACAUCUGUGCGAGUGUUUGGGUGUCAAACCCGUACGCGUAAUGAAAGUGAACGGAGGCGGGAACCCCUCGGGGUGCACCGUCGACCGAUCCUGAUGUCUUCGGAUGGAUUUGAGUAAGAGCAUAGCUGUUGGGACCCGAAAGAUGGUGAACUAUGCCUGAAUAGGGUGAAGCCAGAGGAAACUCUGGUGGAGGCUCGCAGCGGUUCUGACGUGCAAAUCGAUCGUCAAAUUUGGGCAUAGGGGCGAAAGACUAAUCGAACUAUCUAGUAGCUGGUUCCUGCCGAAGUUUCCCUCAGGAUAGCAGUAACGUUUUCAGUUUUAUGAGGUAAAGCGAAUGAUUAGAGGCCUGGGGGUUGAAACAACCUUCACCUAUUCUCAAACUUUAAAUAUGUAAGAAGUCCUUGUUGCUUAGUUGAACGUGGACAUUUGAAUGUAUCGUUACUAGUGGGCCAUUUUUGGUAAGCAGAACUGGCGAUGCGGGAUGAACCGAACGCGGAGUUAAGGUGCCGGAAUGCACGCUCAUCAGACACCACAAAAGGUGUUGGUUCAUCUAG
rnacentral:rRNA from 1 species